rnacentral:rRNA from 1 species
CCAAUAGCGUAUAUUAAAGUUGUUGCAGUUAAAAAGCUCGUAGUUGAACCUCGGGGUCUACCCAUUGGUCAGGCUUAAUUGUCUGUACUGGUGAGAUGUAUCUCUACCUUCUGAGGAACUUUCAUGCCAUUUAUUUGGUGUGAUGGGAAAUCAGGACUGUUACUUUGAAAAAAUUAGAGUGUUUAAAGCAGACUAUCGUCUGAAUACAUUAGCAUGGAAUAAUGAAAUAGGACUGACUGAUUCUAUUUCGUUGGUUUCUAGGAUCACCGUAAUGAUUAAUAGGGAUAGUUGGGGGCAUUAGUAUUCAAUUGUCAGAGGUGAAAUUCUUGGAUUUAUUGAAGACUAACUACUGCGAAAGCAUUUGCCAAGGAUGUUUUCAUUAAUCAAGAACGAAAGUUAGGGGAUCGAAGACGAUCAGAUACCGUCGUAGUCUUAACCAUAAACUAUGCCGACUAGGGAUCGGACGAAGUUAAUUUUAUAAUGACGCGUUCGGCACCUUACG